GACGAACGCUGGCGGCGUGCUUAACACAUGCAAGUCGAACGGAAAGGCCCUGCUUUUGUGGGGUGCUCGAGUGGCGAACGGGUGAGUAACACGUGAGUAACCUGCCCUUGACUUUGGGAUAACUUCAGGAAACUGGGGCUAAUACCGGAUAGGAGCUCCUGCUGCAUGGUGGGGGUUGGAAAGUUUCGGCGGUUGGGGAUGGACUCGCGGCUUAUCAGCUUGUUGGUGGGGUAGUGGCUUACCAAGGCUUUGACGGGUAGCCGGCCUGAGAGGGUGACCGGCCACAUUGGGACUGGGAUACGGCCCAGACUCCUACGGGAGGCAACAGAGGGGAAUAUUGCACCAUGGGCGGAGGACUGAUGCAGCAACGCCGCGUGCGGGAUGACGGCCUUCGGGUUGUAAACCGCUUUCGCCUGUGACGAAGCGUGAGUGACGGGAAUGGGUAAAGAAGCACCGGCUAACUACG
rnacentral:rRNA from 1 species